GAUAUUUUACUAUUUUUACCUCUGGCUCUUUGUUCCUCUUCUCCACCGAUGAGUUUAUCUUUUUCUUCUCUUCUUCUCUAUAUUUUUGUUUGUCUUUCUUAUAGGAUUGAUUUUUAUCAUUAUUUCAAUUUCCAUCGUCUGGUAGCUUCUCUUUGGAAGAUUUUCUUCUCUCAUUCAAAACCCAACUCCAUUUUUUUUUUCAGAUUUCUUUUACCUGUUGAUUUUGUUUCAAUUAAUAUUUAUUUACCCA
rnacentral:lncRNA from 1 species